AUGCUCGUGAACUUGAAAAAUGAUUUCGAGUUUGAACAAAGAAAGUUUACCAAAGAAGACAUCAAAGAAAUUAUAUUUAGGGAGAUACUGGAAUACCUCCCUCAACUUCUCAAGGAUUACAUGCACGGAUCUGAAAAUACUUACUAUGUCCUAUGUUUCUACCUUGACAUAUCCUGUAACUUUUCUGCCUCCUAUUUUGCAUAUGUAGCAAUAGUCAUAACUUAUGUCGUUGAAUCAAUAUUUGCCACUACUGACAAUUUGCAUAGGCAAUCUGCUAAGAGGAAGAUGGUGGAAAGAGCGGGCGAGUCGAGAGAAAACAUUUUCUUCUCCCAAGGUAAUUUACACUAUCAUAAUUCCCCCAACUGUGACUUGUUAUAUACACACCGAGACCACCCCACACCGCCACUAUAG
rnacentral:rRNA from 1 species